CUUGUCUCGGCCUCCCAAAGUACUGGGAUUACAGGCAUGGGCCACCAUGCCUGGCCAAUUUUACUUUUUAAUCUCACUGUAAUUGUGGGCCAGGGAUUCAGGAGAGGCUUAGAUGAGUGGCUCUUGCUCAGGAUCUCUCACGUGACUGUACUCAGGAUGUUGGUUAGGGCUGCAGUCAUCUGAAUGCUUAGCUGGGGCUGGGGGUCUGCUUCCAAGAUGGCUCACUAGGGUGGUUUCUGGCAGGGCCUCCAUUCCUUGCUGGGUGUUGGCAGGAAGCCUCUCUUCCUCACCAUGCAGCUUGUGCUCUCAUGUGGGCUAACUUCCCCCAGAGCAAGCAAUCUCAGAGAGAGGGAGGAGGGAGCUGCAGCGCAUUUUAUGAUCUGCCUUCCAGAGUCACACCCAUCACUUUCACUUUAUUCUGUGCAUUAGAAGCCAAAAGCUAAGUCCAGCCCACACCCAAGGGGAGGGAAGUGAGGCUCCACCUCUUAAAGGGAGGAUUCUCAAAAAUGUGUGAGUAUAUUUAAAAAUCACCGCAGCUUUUUAAUAUUGUCCCAACAAGGCUGUGCAAGAAACAAUCAGGAAAGCUCAGCAGCAUAAAACUGUAAGUGUUUAUAGUUCAUGCAUCUGAGAGUUGCCUGGGCAACUCCCCUGACCUCAGCAGGGGUCGUUCACACCUUUGAGGAUGGCUUUAUUUAAGCAAGGACAACCUGCUUACAUCAGAUGAGAAAACUGGGUCUGAGAAUCCAGAUGUCCUGAGUGAGUAAAGGGAAAAUUUUCACUUCUUCCUAUGGAAGCCUGUCACCCCCCAACUCCAUCCUAGGCUGAGGAAGUCUGCGUUCUUCUCUCACGGAGCUGGAGAACCUUUCAAGUGAUUGGCCUAAGAACAGGCAGGAGACGCGAUCUGGACCAAUCAGAAACUUACAUUGAGAUGGUGGGCCUUGCUAUGUUGCUCAGGCUGGUCUUGAACUCCUGACCUCAAGUGAUCCUCCUGCCUCAGCCUCCUUGAGUAACUGGAAUUACAGGUGUGUGCCAACUUGCCUGACUAAAAUGUUUAAUUUUUAUAAAUCUAAUCGUUAAACAUGACUAUAUAGCCAGCCUUAAUUCUAAGUGCCAAUAUUACAUAAAACGUAGUAAACUUUCGACUUAAAAUUGUAAGUCUAGGCUGGGUAUGGUGGCUCACGUGUGUAAUCCUAACACUUUUGGUGACGAGAAGGGAUGAUCUCUUGAGCCCAGGAGUUUGAAACCAGUCUGGGUAACAUAGAAAAACUCCCAUUUCUAAAAAAAAUUUAUAAAGUAGCCAACAGUGGUAGUGUGUGCCUGCAGUCCCAGCUACCAGGAGGCUGAGGUGGGAGGAUGGUUUGAGCCCAGGAGUUUGCGGCUGCAGUGAGCUAUGAUCGUGCCACUGCACUCAGACCGGAGUGAGACCCUGUCUCUACUGAAAAAAACCCACAGAAACCCAAAUAUAUAUAUAUAUUUAUAUAAAAAAGAUUUCAACAUAUGAAUUUUUGGGGGGAACAAAUAGUCCAUAACAAAUAUUAUAAGUACUAUAUUAUUAAUACUUCCAGAUUCCUUAAUAUCAAGAUAUUAGUAGUACAAGUUUCACUCUCUUAAAAAUUUCUUUCUUUCUUUCUUUCUUUCUUUCUUUCUUUCUUUCUUUUUUGAGAUAGGGUCUUGCUCUGUUGCCCAGGCUAGAGUACAGUGGCACAGUCUUGG
rnacentral:lncRNA from 10 species